GACGAACGCUGGCGGCGUGCCUAAUACAUGCAAGUCGAACGAGUGGCGGACGGGUGAGUAAUGCUUGGGAAUCUAGCUUAUGGAGGGGGAUAACUACGGGAAACUGUAGCUAAUACCGCGUACCAUAGGAUGAUCCCAAGUGGGAUUAGGUAGUUGGUGUGGUAAAGGCUCACCAAGCCGACGAUCGCUAGCUGGUCUGAGAGGAUUACCAGCAACAAGGGGACUGAGACACGGCCCAGACUCCUACGGGAGGCAGCAGUGGGGAAUAUUGCGCAAGGGGGGAAACCUGACGCAGCCAUGCCGCGUGAAUGAAGAAGGCCUUCGGGUUGAAAAGUUCUUUCGGUAGCGAGGCGUUAACUACAGAAGAAGCAACGGCUAACUCCGUGCCAGCAGCCGCGGUAAUUC
rnacentral:rRNA from 1 species